UACAGAGGGUGCAAGCGUUAAUCGGAGUUACUGGGCGUAAAGGGCGCGUAGGUGGUGACAUGAGUGUGAUGUGAAAGCCCUGGGCUUAACCUAGGAAGCGCAUCGCAAACGAUGUUACUGGAGUCGAGGAGAGGGCGGCGGAAUUUCCGGUGUAGCGGUGAAAUGCGUAGAUAUCGGAAGGAACGUCAAUGGCGAAGGCAGCCGCCUGGCCGACGACUGACACUGAGGCGCGAAAGCGUGGGGAGCGAACAGG
rnacentral:rRNA from 1 species